UACGGAGGGUGCAAGCGUUAUCCGGAUUCACUGGGUUUAAAGGGUGCGUAGGCGGCUCGGUAAGUCGGAUGUGAAACCUCCAGGCUCAACCUGGAGACGCCAUCUGAUACUGCCGUGGCUUGAGUCCGGUAGAGGAGCAGGGAAUUCCUGGUGUAGCGGUGAAAUGCGCAGAUAUCAGGAGGAACACCAGCGGCGAAGGCGCUGCUCUGGGCCGGUACUGACGCUGAGGAGCGAAAGCGUGGGGAGCGAACAGG
rnacentral:rRNA from 1 species